rnacentral:rRNA from 1 species
CCUACGGGAGGCAGCAGUGGGGAAUCUUGCACAAUGGAGGAAACUCUGAUGCAGCGAUGCCGCGUGAGUGAAGAAGGCCUUUGGGUUGUAAAGCUCUUUUGUAGGGGAAGAUAAUGACUGUACCCUAAGAAUAAGGUCCGGCUAACUUCGUGCCAGCAGCCGCGGUAAUACGAAGGGACCUAGCGUAGUUCGGAAUUACUGGGCGUAAAGCGCGCGUAGGCCGUUGAGUUAGUUAAUUGUGAAAUCCCAAAGCUUAACUUUGGAACUGCAAUUAAAACUG